UGUUGGAAACUAUCAUGAGCAGCUGCUUGGGGCCUGAGGGUCGGCAAAUUCUGUGUACGAAGCCCACCGGCGAGGUGCUGCUCAGCAGGGAUGGAAGUCGCCUUCUGGAGGUGCUGCACUUAGACCAUCCCAUGGCCAGAUAUUCUUCCAGUCAGCAGCUUCUUUGGAAACCUGGAAAGCAACCUCCUGAUGCUGUAACGUGAACCGGUCUGCAGAGACACUGUGACCACACAGUCAAAUGGCUCCGCACUGGCCACACCGAGCAACCUCAGGAGGCAGAUGGGACGGAGACGGGGGCUUCAGAGCCACAUGGACCUGCGUGUGGAUCUUGGAUGUGCCACAUGCUAGUUGUGUGACCUUUAACGACCUACUUAAACUUGCUUUACUUUACUUCCCUCAUCAGUUAUUUUAGUUGUCUAUUGCUGCAUAACAAAUUACCCUCAAACUUAGUAGCUCAAAAUGGCAAACAUUUAUUCUCUCACAUGGUUUCUGUGAGCCAGGAAUCAGGGAGUGGUUAAACUGGGUGGUUCCGGCUUAGGGUCUUUCACAAGGUUACAGUCAAGGUGUUGGUCAGGACUGCGGUAAUGUGAAGGCUGUAACAGUGGAAAAUUGUGACGGUAGGAAAUUGUAACCCACCCCACCAUUCUUCUGGCAUUGUGUCUGUUUCAGACUCAGUGCUGACUCUGACUAAUAUGUGGCGGAUGGAUGAACAGCAUGUUUGUUUAAGAAUCCUAGGAACUAGUUUCAAAAGAUACAGAUCCUGACCUUCAAGCAUCCCAGUUCCAAGAGAUCUGCUGACCUUCAUCCAUGAAGCCAGGAUGACCUGAAGCCGGGAAUAAGGUGAAGCCAGGGUGUCUAAGCAGGAAGACAUGGGCUGGACCAUCACUUCCCUUAUCCGAAUGGACUGUGCUCAUCUGCAUGCGGAGAACUUUUCAACCCCCUCCCUUGAUCUCUUUGUUCUGUUCCCCUCUCCUUCCUUAUAAAAACCUCUGCCUCCACUGAGAGGUGGAGAUGGGCUUUGAGACAUGAGCCCCCAUCUUCCAGGUGGCCAGCAUCUGCAAAUAAACCACGUUCCUUUAUAUCAGCACCUGUCUCUCGAGCAUUGGCUCACGUAGCAGCAGGCAGCCAGACCUGUUUUCGGUUACAACUUGACUGGGGUGAAAGGAUCUGCUUCACUCAAUCACAUGGCUGUUGACAGGAGGCCUCGGUUCCUCGUACAUGGGCCUCUCUGUAGUGCUGCUGAGGCAUCUGCGCAACAUGGCAGCUGGCUUCCUCCAUAGCAAGUGACUCUAGAGAAAGCAAGCAGAAAGUGCAAUGUCUUCUCCGAUCCUGUCACUUCUGCUUAUUCUAUUCAUUCGAAGUGAGUAACUGAGUCACCUUACAUUCAAUGAGAGAAGAACGAGGCUCCACACUUUGGAAGGAGGAACAGCAAAAAAGUUAUGGUUUUUGAGACCAUUAUGAUUGUUAAACAGAAAGAAUGAUAUUUACUUUAUCACCCCUGGAAGAAUCAAAGUUAAACAUUUAGAACAGUGCUAGCUUCAAAGUAUGUAUUCAUCUACUUAGUCUUCACUGAGUCCCUACUGCUGAGCUGUAUGCUCAGAAUAGGACCAUGAGAAAGCCCAGCAGAGUCCCUGCCAUCAUGAAGCUCACAGUUUAAUGGGAAGAUAGACACUAAUCAAAUAAUACUAAACCAAUGUCAAAUUGCUGCUUCGCACAUGCACAAUGCAACAUGGAAGGAUUGGGACCAGUCAGGAAAGCUUUCUCUGAGGAAAUGGUGUUAAGACCUAAGAGUUUCUCACACCCCUUGGUGUUGAGAUCUCAAAGACCAGUGGGAAUUGACUAAGUGGGGAAGGAAGCGAAGAGGGUUCUAGGUAAAAGGAACACUGGGGUAACAUUGUGGGUAGCAGCGCGGAGAGGACAAGGCACAGGAUGAGGUGGGGGGCCUGGGGCAGGGGAAGCCCUGCGGGCGAAGGCUGCAGAAGUAGCAAGGAAUGAGCCUCUGCUCUGCUUUUCUGUGUCCCAUGAAGGAGGGGAAAAAAACCAUUUUACGCACCUUUAUGAGACAGGCGGUUGCCAGAGAGUGGAUUUGGGAGUAGGAGUUGACUACCAAGGUGUGUGAGAAGCUCUUAGGGAUGAUGAGUAUUCUGUAUAUUGAUUGUAGUAGUGGUUACAAGAGUGUAGGUGUUUGCUGGAAUUCAUAGAACUGUAUUAGACAUAAAUUAUACCUCAAUGCAUCUGAAUUUUAAGAAGUAUACUUUUAUGCAGGCACUUUUAUGGAGCAGUACCAUGACAUUGUGAAUUUUCCUAUAAUAUGGGUUUUGAAUUUAUUCCAAACAGUAUUAAUUCCUGCAGGAUCAACUGUCUCAAUGAAGUUUAACCUGCUGAAACUAAAACCCUCUGGCCAGUGAGAGUGAGCUGUGUGUGUGUGUCUGUGUAUGUCUCUGAGUGUGUGUGUCAGUGGAAGGAAAAACACAUCAGAGUAAACUAAAUACAGUAUAGUCUUUGUCAUUAAAAGUAAGAUGUUUUUUACAGCUAUGGAAAGCAUGAAGGGAGGAAAAUCUUUAGAGGUAAUAAAUCAACUUACUUUAAUGCACAUGCUGACUUUUUUGGUUGCUCUAUUUUUAUUCUGAAAAGAUGUUGCUGUGCAAAUACAGUUCCAAAUUCAACAAUGAUGCUUAACAAUGGAAUUUGAGAGACUAUUUUCUGUUAGAAAAACAGUAACAGACGUGAAGCAAAACAGGUUUUCCUGGCUCAGAAUCUGAUAGAAUGCCUGUAACAUUAUCCUGAGCAAGACGUUGAUGCCAUUAAGCUUCUGUGAAAUUAAAGAGUUGAGAAUAAUGCUGUGUUCGUUGCAGCAUUGGACUUCACUUUCAACAGCUGAGCUUUUGAGAUUUCCAGUGUAAGAUGUUGUUAAUGGAAAUGAAAUGGAUAGCAUUCUAUUGCAUACAUGUGCCACAUUUUAUUUAUUCACUACAAAGCAAUGGGAAAAAAUAGCCUACAACUGCUCUCGACACCUCAGGUGAAUCUCAUGAACAAAAGAAGCCAGGUACAAACACUCAGAUCGUAUGAUUUCAUUUAUAUGAGGUACAACACGUGGCAAAACUAGUCGAUGCUGUUACAUGGCAGCAGAGCGGGCCCCUUGGACUGACGGGGAGCCAGUGACUGAAAGAGAGCACAGUGUGGAUUUCUUGGUGUGGAUAACAUUCCGUUUCUUGAUCUGAGAGCUGGUUACACAGAUGUUUUCAGUUUGUAAUAUUCAAUGUACUGUAAUUUAUGGUAUAUGUACUUUUAUACAUGUGUGUUAUUCUUCAAAUAAAAAGUAUUUU